GUGCUCCGGCCUCCACGCCGUCUGCCUUUGAGAUCACGAAUCGCGACACUUCCACCUCCUAUCGCCGCCGCCGCUUCCUGCGCCUCACGAUGUCGCCGCCCAUCACUCCUGCCGUCGCGGUGCCUGCCGCUUUCCGUCCCCCGCCGCGCCCGCCCGCCCGCGUGCGUCGCCGCCGCCGCCACGGAUCCGUCGCGCCCGCCCACCCUCCCCGCCGAUGCCGCGGCUCCUACCGCGCCCAACGCCUCCCUGACGUGCCGACCGCCGAUGCCUCCCCGUGCGCAGGGAUCGACCAUCUUGCAUAUCGUGGCUGCAAGGGGACAAGUGUAGGCAAUCUUUGAUGCUGCUUCUGUUCAUUGUCUCGGCAUUGGAAUGCAAUGCCACGAUUGCUGCGUCCUGCAGCGCUGCAUUGCACAUUCGUCAGGUAGAUGAAGGCAAUUGUGGAGACAUAAGCAUUGCAGCACAACCAUUCCAAAUCCAAUUUUCAGCCUUCUGAUUCAGGCAUGCUGCAGAACUAACCUUCAGCUUAGAGCAAGAAGCAAUUGAACCUUCAGCCUUCUUAUAUUGAUGCGUACACGAAUGGAUACAGAAGCAAUGAAGCUCAACAAUGCUAGAUAUUUACAUUUACAUUUUUCUUUCCUGUAGUGUAAACUUGUACUGUUCACUUCUAUGUACAUUUGUUCUUUAAAAUCAUAUGGUUAUAUGUA